CAAAGGAGACUGCCAGUGAUAAACUGGAGGAAGGUGGGGAUGACGUCAAGUCAUCAUGGCCCUUACGACCAGGGCUACACACGUGCUACAAUGGCAUAUACAAAGAGAAGCGACCUCGCGAGAGCAAGCGGACCUCAUAAAGUAUGUCGUAGUCCGGAUUGGAGUCUGCAACUCGACUCCAUGAAGUCGGAAUCGCUAGUAAUCGUAGAUCAGAAUGCUACGGUGAAUACGUUCCCGGGCCUUGUACACACCGCCCGUCACACCAUGGGAGUGGGUUGCAAAAGAAGUAGGUAGCUUAACCUUCGGGAGGGCGCUUACCACUUUGUGAUUCAUGACUGGGGUGAAGUCGUAACAAGGUAACCGUAGGGGAACCUGCGGUUGGAUCACCUCCUU
rnacentral:rRNA from 1 species